GUUCACUGCCGCACAGGCAGCUUGGAAG
rnacentral:other from 1 species